UGUUGUCAGUCUCAGUUUCAGAACAGUCUGAACUCCUACCACUGAUAUGACUAUAUGGACAUGAGUUGCUGGCUUGUUGUGGUCCUCUAUAAUCCUCUCCAUCAGC